UCGAGUUAGGGUUGUCCAUCUGCAAGGGAGAUUUGCUUAAUCUUUUCAGUAAAUUUUCCUUGGAGGUGGUCCCCGCACGACUUACUCCGGGUUUCAGGGUGAAAUUUGGGGUGGGUCGUGUCAUAUAUUUUAAAACAAAAGUCCACUCACAACUUUCAGCCUAAGCCUGACGUCGAUCCGAUGCCUCUUCCACUCGAGCCUCCUCACGUCCUGAUCCAAACAUAUAAUUAAUUUCCCACUAAAAAUCCAAUAAUUAAACAAAAUGGGAAAAAUUAAACGUGAGCCUCCCACACACUCAUUAUUGCCCAACUUCGCCAUUCUUAACUCAAAACGGCUCAAACUUCACCGAACAUACCGGCAACCCUAAUUACAACUUCCCUCAUAAAAUGACUUAAAUCCUACGGCCGGAUUUUACAUUAUUCAACCGCCAAAAAUACCACACUUCGGAAAUUCAUAACCCUAUCCAAAACUCAUCCAAAAAUUUCAUAAUUCACUUCAAUAAACUCCCCUUAAUAAUCCAAAUUUAAAAACAUUAAAAUCUCCCAACCGGCGGCGGCCGGAGGCCGAUUCCGGCGACCUCCAAUGCCCACCAAAUUUUAACAGCAGAUUCUUCUCCACUCCCUUUACAACUUUCCUAACUAGCACAACCACAAAAUUCAAGCCUAGCUAGGGUAAUCGAACACAAACACCUAAAAAGCCCUAGGAUUUCAACUUCGAAUUUCUCCUUACCUAGCUCAAGAGGGAGUGAGCCCUUUGGAGGGAUUGAUGCACGGGAGGAGAGCUUCACAACGAGCCAAGACUCGCCGGCUAUGGCGGCCGGAGGAGGGAGCUCCGGCGAAUGGAGCAACCGGCUGCUAAGGGAGUUUCCUCCCCAUUCGGCGGCGUAACCGACCCGGUCACCAGCCCAGGCGAGGAGAGGAGGCGGCGGCAGUCCGAACGGGACCGGUGCGGCGACCUGGCUUGGCCAGACGGCGUCGGCGGGUGGAGGAUUCCGGCAGAGGAGGAGGGAGCUUGGGAGGGGAAGGAAAAGAAAAGAGAGAAGAAGAAAAAGAGGAGAAGAAGAGAAGAAAAGAGGAAAUAAAAAUGGGGUUUAGGCCUCACUCACCAACCCGGCCCAACACCACAAAUAUUACCUAACUCCACCAAUUUAACACCCCAAAACAAAAUACCCUAAUAAAAAUUACCUUUUACUAGCUAAAAUUUACUAAUUUUUACCGUCGUCAUAAUUUUCUCUUACAAAUAAUUGUCCCUUAAAACCCCUCUAGGGACUAAUUAAAACUAUAAACUCAUUUACCGUCGUCAUACUUACCUUUUACUAGCUAAAAUUUACUAAUUUUUACCGUCGUCAUAAUUUUCUCUUACGAAUAAUUGUCCCUUAAAACCCCCUAGGGACUAAUUAAAACUAUAAACUCAUUGACGGAGACGGUAAAAUUUUUAUUAUAACCAAGCUAGUAAAUAAGGUAAAAAUUUAAGGGUCGGGAUGUGACAUUAUUUCUUUUUCUUUGUCGUUGUAUACGUUUCCAUUCUCUUCUGCCGAAGCAGGUAAGCCAAGUGCCAAGUUUUCUCUCUUUAAUCUGCAGGUAUGAUUCUUAAUUAUAUCGGUCAUCCUCUUAAAGGGUCUUGUACGUGUCAUAUGACCUAGUUCUCAAAUCUCAAUUGAUUAAUAAUGUCUUGAUCAAAUUUAGUUCCAAUAUCCCAUCAUCUCAAAUCUCAAUUGAUUAAUGCCUUGAUAGUCUCAAUAUCUCAUCAUCCCAUCACACUGUAUUUCUAUUGAUAUUCUAAUUCUAAUCUCAAUAUAUUACUUGCUUACUAAUUCUAAGCCAAGUGUCAAGUUUUCUCUCUUUAAUCUGUAGGUAUGAUUCUUAGUUAUAUCGGUCAUCCUCUUGAAGUCUUGUACGUGUCAUAUGACCUUGUUCUCAAAUCUCAAUUGAUUAAUGCUUUGAUCAAAUUUAGUCGCAAUAUCUCAUCAUCUCAAAUUUCAAUUGAUUAAUGUCUUGAUAGUCUCAAUAUCUCAUCAUCCCAUCGCACUGUAUUUCUAUUAAUAUUCUAAUUCUAUUAUCAAUUGCUUACUUACUAAUUCUAAACCAAGUGUCAAACUUUAUCUAUUUAAUCUGCAUGUAUGAUUAUUAGUUAUAUUGGUCAUUCUCUUGGAGUCUUGUACGUGUCAUAUGACCUAGUUCUCAAAUCUCAAUUGAUUAAUGUUUUGAUCCAAUUUAGUCCCAAUAUCUCAUCAUCUCAAAUCUCAUGUGUAUCAGCAAGAGGGGCUAAUCCGAACGUGGUUUGUCUCCAUUCAAUUGAGAGGGAAGCCCCCGGGACGCUACGGUGCCUUAGCUGGUUCCCGAUCCUCCUUCAAAAGUGGGAAAGAGAGGCGGAAGGCGCCCCUUCCAAACAAUGAAAAAAAUCCGAGGAACUUCGAAGCUUAUAGGGCCUCCUCUUGUAAGCUAGCUCCAUUCGAUCGAUCGCUUCCGUUCAUAAUAGAUUGGUUGUGAAUUAAUUGAUUAAUGCCUUGAUAGUCUCAAUAUCCCAUCAUCCUAUCACACUGUAUUUCUAUUGAUAUUCUAAUUAUAAUCUCAAUUGCUUGCUUAUUUUAUUGUAGAUAACUAAUGCUUUUGAUGUGUAUAUAUAUAGAUAUAUAGUUGUAAUAGUACCAACAUUUGAUUCAUAGUUAUUAGAUUGUGUUUUUCCGUCCUGUUAGGUUUAAGGAUUAUACACUCGUUUACUGUAUUGUUAGAGCGGUGAUUGUGUGCUUAGUUAUUAGAUUUUGCUUCUAUUCAAGAGCGUAUGGUUCAAUUUGAGUAUGUUUGUUCUUUUAUCUUUAGCUUUUGUUAUCGAAUUUCUAUAAAAUGUUAAAAUAUUAAUUUCUUAAUGAUCAGUUAACUACGUGAUUAUUUGAUAUGUUUUUAAUCUAAAAUGUGAUAUGUAAAAUAUAGAAGAAAAAAAAAUAAAACAAUUUUAAGAAAAAAAUUUCAGUCCACCCCAACCUAAAAUCCUAGGUCCAACAUUGUGUGUGUGUGUAUAUAUUUAUAUAUACAGUCCGUUUCAGAUACGAACGUCCACACCGUAAACGGUGCGGACGUCCGCACCUGAUAACUGUUGUGUAUAUAUAUAUAUAUAUAUAUCAUGAAAUUAGAUUAAUUUAUAAUUAAUUUGAUCAAGAGAUUAACGUAAUCUUGUAAGGCUAUAACAUAUUCGAUCCUAUAAUGCAGUUCAUUGCAUUUAUAACUAGUACUGUCUAUGCAGCUUGUAAUCACAAGGAAGUAAAAGCUAGCGUCAGAGAUAGAUAGCGAAUUAGGGCUCUCUUGCAUACCCAAGAUGAAUUACCUACCCUACCUGGUCAUUGUUUGCCCAUAAUGCAACUCGAUCGAACACGGAACCAAAUUUGCCAACCAUCAAAUUUGGUGGUCANNNNN
rnacentral:lncRNA from 1 species